AGAGCGAACGCUGGCGGCAGGCCUAACACAUGCAAGUCGAGCGCCCCGCAAGGGGAGCGGCAGACGGGAGAGUAACACGUGGGAACGUACCCUUCGGUUCGGAACAACUCAGGGAAACUUGAGCUAAUACCGGAUACGGCUGGAAGGCGAAAGAUUCAUCGCCGGGGGAUCGGCCCGCGUCCGAUUAGCUAGUUGGUGUGGUAACGGCGCACCAAGGCGACGAUCGGUAGCUGGUCUGAGAGGAUGAUCAGCCACAUUGGGACUGAGACACGGCCCAAACUCCUACGGGAGGCAGCAGUGGGGAAUAUUGGACAAUGGGCGCAAGCCUGAUCCAGCCAUGCCGCGUGAGUGAUGAAGGCCUUAGGGUUGUAAAGCUCUUUCACCCACGACGAUAAUGACGGUAGUGGGAGAAGAAGCCCCGGCUAACUUCGCGCCAGCAGCCGC
rnacentral:rRNA from 1 species